AGAAGUGACAUAUCAACACAUGUACCAAAUCCCAUUUGAACUCUAAAGGAAAGUGUGCCUGAGCGAGAGUGGUCUAGAAUGGGUGAUCCCCUGGGAAGUCUUGGUGUUGCAUUCC
rnacentral:rRNA from 1 species